UACGUAGGGGCCUAGCGUUGUCCGGAUUUAUUGGGCGUAAAGAGCUCGUAGGCGGUUUGGUUAGUCAGGUGUGAAAUCUCCACGCUCAACGUGGAGGGGCCACCUGAUACUGCCAUGACUUGAGUCCGGUAGGGGAGUGUGGAAUUCCCGGUGUAGCGGUGAAAUGCGCAGAUAUCAGGAAGAACACCCGUGGCUAAGGCGGCUCUCUAGUACGGUACUGACGCUGAGACGCGAAAGCGUGGGGGAGCGAACAGG
rnacentral:rRNA from 1 species